GCAUAUGGCCAUACCACCGUGAAUGCAGCAGGUAACAUCUGAUCUCAGAAGCUAAGCAGUGUCAGGUCAGGUUAAUACUUGGAUGGGAGAACACUGUUGCAAAUGAUCUGGUAGCUUAAAGUA
rnacentral:rRNA from 1 species